UAAAAACAAAGAGAUAAGACCUGAUGUCAACCUAACGGGUCUCUUAAAUCUAUUCUUGAUUGAAUUAUUACUUUUUUUUUUUUUAUUUGGUAUAGUACUUUUUCUUUUAAUAUUCUACUCUAAUAUUCUAUGAUUUGUCUCCUUAGUCCCUAUAAGACUCUUUCACCUGAUAUUUACUCAAGUCAUUCUCACUCUUCAAACCCUAACUCCAAAUUAAAAAUCUCAUCCUCGCUUUCAAACCAAUCCACCGCCGUCACUUCCUCUUCCUUAGCUUCUCACCUUGAUUUAAAACUCUGUAAACAUUCAAAUGGUAAUAAGAAAUGUACUUUGUAAACACUCAAAUGGUACGGAGUAAAAAUAAUCUAUUUCUCUCCCCUUAAAAAGGCACUCAUUCUACCCACCACCUAACUCGUCCGAGUCAUGCUGGAACUCGUACGACUCAGCCGUCGACUCGUUCAUACCAAACUUCAAGGUUCAAACCUCUUGUGGGUUCAAGGCUCAGUGGAUUUCUGAAGGUUGUUUGAACAUCUCAACUCAGACCGAGUUCGAAAAAUUCGUUCCUCAAUUUGCGUUAAACGACGCCGUUUUGAACUGUAAUCAAUCUCUUGCAAACGGGUCUCCUUGUGCUUCUUGUCUCACGAGUCUUACUACUCUGCAAGCUUUGUAUCUCAAAUCGAAGGACCCUUUUAAUGAUUUGCUUGAUUUCAUCUCACAAAAUUCUCAGACAACGAGAGAGAAUGGAGAACUUGAGCAAUUGUACUUGUUGAGCCUUAAUGUUGUAAUUGUAAUUGUAUAUUUUAGUAACAUCAAUAUUAUUUUUUGUUUAUUUUAAUUUGCAUUUUAUGUAGGUUGAUUUUUUUUUACCACAUUAACUUUACUUUAGCCCAUUAUUAUUAUUAUAGUGCACUUGAAGUGUAACUACAA